rnacentral:rRNA from 1 species
UACGUAGGGGGCGAGCGUUGUCCGGAUUUAUUGGGCGUAAAGAGCGUGUAGGCGGCCAGGUAGGUCUGCUGUGAAAACUCGAGGCUUAACCUCGAGCUGUCGGCGGAAACCAUCUGGCUAGAGUCCGGAAGAGGAGAAUGGAAUUCCCGGUGUAGCGGUGAAAUGCGCAGAUAUCGGGAAGAACACCCGUGGCGAAGGCGGCAUCCUGGACCAACACUGACGCUGAGUGAGCGAAAGCCAGGGGAGCAAACGGG